GACAGAGGUGCCAAGCGUUAGGCGGAAUCACUGGGCUUAAAGCGUGUGUAGGCGGAUUUGUAAGUACCUUGUGAAAUCCCACGGCUCAACCGUGGAACUGCUUGGUAUACUGGAUGUCUUGAGCCACUUAGGGGCUACCGGAACAAAUGGUGGAGCGGUGAAAUGCGUAGAUAUCAUUUGGAACGCCAAUGGUGAAAACAGGUAGCUGGGAGUGUGCUGACACUGAGACACGAAAGCCAGGGGAGCGAACGGG
rnacentral:rRNA from 1 species